GCUUGAUUGCAAGACAUACAGGUCGAGCAAGGAUGAAAAUCGGACUUAGUGAGCCGGUGGUUCUGCGUGGAAGGGCCAUCGCUCAACGGAUAAAAGCUACCCUGGGGAUAACAGGCUUAUCUCCCCCAAGAGUCCACAUCGACGGGGAGGUUUGGCACCUCGAUGUCGGCGCAUCACAUCCUGGGGCUGUAGUAGGUCCCAAGGGUUGGGCUGUUCGCCCAUUAAAGUGGUACGCGAGCUGGGUUCAGAACGUCGUGAGACAGUUCGGUCCCUAUCCGUCGCAGGCGUAGGAAAUUUGAGAAGACCUGUCCUUAGUACGAGAGGACCGGGAUGGACGUACCUCUGGUGUACCAGUUGU
rnacentral:rRNA from 1 species